UCGAUCCACCCCUACUCCCCCUCCCCGGCCGAUCCAUCCCGGUGCCCCGGCUGAUCCACCCCUACGCCCCCUCCGCGGCCGAUCCAAACCUUCGCCGUCGCGCUAGCAGGAGGCGGCUAUCUGCUGUGGGAUCGGGCGAGGUGACGCCGGCGAUCACGACCCCGAUCCGACGGCGACCCCCUUCUGCUCUUCUCCCUCUCCUCUAGGGUUUUGGUGCCGCCAUCUCCGCACUUCCAGAAGGAGAUCGAGAGAGGCUGAGCCCAGAGCUAGAUGAAGGAGAAGAGAAUGUCCAUGGAUCAUUAAGGGGCGGCGGCGACACGAGGCUGAUGAAGGUGUUUGUAGGUGGCCUGGCGUGGGAGACGAGCAAGGAGGGCGUGCGCGUCCACUUCGAGCACUUCAGCGAGAUCCUCGAGGCCGUCGUCAUCGCCGACAAGGGCACCGGCAGAUCCAAGGGCAGCAAAUUCUCCAGUUAAUUGAUGCUAUGCCUAAAUGGAUGCUUGGUAAGUUAUGUUCUGGAGGCGGAGGCGGCCAUCAAGACAUGGUGAAUGGCGUCCAGAGGGCCAACUGCAACCUAGCUCGCCUACCUUGGGAUCCAGAGGUCCAAGGCACCACAACCAACUGCCUCUGCAUCCAUAUUCUGGGUGGUGUAGCAAGCAAGCAAGAAUUGGAGAGUCUUCGGUGCAUGCUUGGAGAAGAGGCUAAGAUGAGAGGCUUCAAUCUGGAGAUGACAAGGAUAGUCACCUGGUGCAACUAAAGGUUCGGUUUCAUACUUGUG